GUCUCAUUUGCACAGCGGUCGUGCCGCCGGUUAAUGUGGCGCCUACUUGAAAUCUUAUCCCGGCGUUGGCCGGUUCGAAUCCGGCAUGGGACU